UACGGGGGGGGCAAGCGUUGUUCGGAAUUACUGGGCGUAAAGGGCUCGUAGGCGGCCAACUAAGUCAGACGUGAAAUCCCUCGGCUUAACCGGGGAACUGCGUCUGAUACUGGAUGGCUUGAGUUUGGGAGAGGGAUGCGGAAUUCCAGGUGUAGCGGUGAAAUGCGUAGAUAUCGGGAGGAACACCAAUUGCGAAGGCAGCUUGCUGGGACGGUACUGACGCUGAGGCGCGAAAGCGUGGGGAGCAAACAGG
rnacentral:rRNA from 1 species